AACGGCCUUCGGGGUUAGUAGCGUACUUUCAGCGAGGAGGAAGGUGGUGAGUUAGUACGCUCAUCGGUUGACGUUUCUCACAUAAAAAGUACCGGGUAACUCCGUGUCAGCAUCCGCGGACUACAUGAGGGUGCUUGGCAAAUCGGAAUUACUGGGCGUAAAGCGCACGCAGGCGGUCUGUCAAGUCGGAUGUGAAAUCCCCGGGCUCAACCUGGGAACUGCAACCGAAACUGGCAGGCUUGAGUCUCGUAGAGGGGGGUAGAAUUCCAGGUGUAGCGGUGAAAUGCGUAGAGAUCUGGAGGAAUACCGGUGGCGAAGGCGGCCCCCUGGACGAAGACUGACGCUCAGGUGCGAAAGCGUGGGGAGCAAACAGGAUUAGAUACCCUGGUAGUCCACGCCGUAUACGAUGUCGACUUGGAGGUUGUUCCCUUGAGGAGUGGCUUCCGGAGCUAACGCGUUAAGUCGACCGCCUGGGGAGUACGGCCGCAAGGUUAAUACUCAGAUGAAUUGACGGGGGCCCGCACAAGCGGUGGAGCAUGUGGUUUAAUUCGAUGCACGCGAGAACCUUACCUGGCCUUGACUCCACAGAACUUGGCAGAGAUGCUUUAGUGCCUUCGGGAACUCUGAGACAGGUGCUGCAUGGUUUUUCGUCAGCGUCC
rnacentral:rRNA from 1 species